UACGUAGGGUGCAAGCGUUAAUCGGAAUUACUGGGCGUAAAGCGUGCGCAGGCGGUGAUGUAAGACAGGUGUGAAAUCCCCGGGCUUAACCUGGGAACUGCAUUUGUGACUGCAUCGCUGGAGUGCGGCAGAGGGGGAUGGAAUUCCGCGUGUAGCAGUGAAAUGCGUAGAUAUGCGGAGGAACACCAGUGGCGAAAGCGGCUUCCUGGUCCGACACCGACGUUCAGGCACGAAAGCGUGGGGAGCAAACAGG
rnacentral:rRNA from 1 species